rnacentral:lncRNA from 1 species
CACUGCUGUUUGUGGCUGAAAGAAUGUGGCUAAAUUAUCAUAGCAAAGAAGCAGAAUAGAUAGUUGAACGUUCCUUCCGAUAAGACUUCAGCUGUAGAGAAUGUUGGGAAUCUGCAAUUCUUUGUCAUAGAACUUGAGAUCGUCUUGCUUUUUAAACACUUGUUCUGUAGCAGUUCCAUUGAAUCUGGGUUGAGCAGAAGUCUUGAAAGUCCAGCUUGUUGCCUCAGAGAACUUACGAUUUCAUCUAUCUGUGAAGUGGAGCUAAGUCUGUGUGGCACAUAAUGUUCAUCUGGUUUAACAGAAAACUCUGAACAACUGUCCAGGUAUAAUGCAACAUAUAAUUAUUAGACGUACAUAAUUUACAAGCUACUGUAAAUCUAAGAAAUAGUUUUGAAUUUGUAUUCUAAUCUUACUUAUAGCAUCAUAUCCUUACAUAUCCUUUUGGCAGUGUUGCACCAUAGGGAAGAGAAGUAGUCCACUUUAAAAACAUAUUGAACGUCGCUGUUGUAUGUAGUACUUUUAAUAGGCUACUACUACAAUGUAGGGUUUCCUGUGUCCUGAGACUAAUUUAACAUAAUGUUUCUACAAUAUCUGAAGUGUGUGGAAGUCUUCACAGUGCUGUGCAUUUGAAUCUAGGUGCACUACUCUGGUGGAUAAUCCUCUUGAGAAUUUUCCUUGCAGUUUCUUUGCCAGUUAUGGAGGUUAAGCAUUGAAGCACAAUCAUGGAUUUUACUGAAGAAUCCAGACACUCUGGUUAGGGUUCAUAGCAUUUUUUUACAAAUGUUUAAUAGAACAUUUAAUAUAACAUUUCAUUAUAUAUGAAAAGAACUGGCAGAUAUCUGGUUUUAUGUGGUUCUUGAUUCACUUUCUCACAUGGCCUGGAUCAACACACCAGUAUUAUUCCCUUCCCUUUACCUUUGCUGAACCAUAAUGUUAGUGAAACUCUUUUAACCUCUUAUGAUUUAACUGCUACAGAAAUGCAAAAUAUGUAAUUCAAAGAGAGGGAACAACCUCAGUACUUACUCUGUAUCUUCAUAA